UGUCGUGGCUUGAUAUGCUCAAGGUCUUGAGUUCGAAUCCCAGCAUAUACACUGGAUUUUUUCUACGUGAAUUUUGAUAGUCUUUUCCGUAUAAUUGUAUGUUUAAUUAUAAGUUUUAUAGUUGAUUUGACAUUCCCGCCAAAAUGUUACAGAACAAAGGAAAGCAUGCAUAACAAAGAAACUCAAACUAGGGUGAUCUGGUAGGGGUGAUCCGGCU
rnacentral:lncRNA from 1 species